UACAGAGGGUGCGAGCGUUAAUCGGAAUUACUGGGCGUAAAGCGCACGUAGGUGGCUAUUUAAGUCGAUUGUGAAAUCCCUGGGCUUAACCUGGGAACUGCAGUCGAUACUGACUAGCUAGAGUGUGGUAGAGGGAAGUGGAAUUUCCGGUGUAGCGGUGAAAUGCGUAGAUAUCGGAAGGAACACCAGUGGCGAAGGCGACUUCCUGGACUAACACUGACACUGAGGUGCGAAAGCGUGGGUAGCGAACAGG
rnacentral:rRNA from 1 species